GUUUUGGGGGUAGUGUGGCACAAGCAAAUCAAAUCCAUCACAGAUCUAGAAGUGAAUAGCCCAUCCUGGGCCAGCAUCUCUACAGAAAGUCCCUGUCACAAGACCUUAUUGACUAAAAUGCAGCAGCAGAAGGGCAUCUGUUUGUGGAGGGAAAACUAGAAUAUUCCCUUUUGAGUUCCGCUUCCUCCUUUCGAUCCACCUACCAUCAGACACUUCCUGGGCAUCUCUCUAGCAGGGAGAGUGUAGCAGCUGCCUUUUUUUUUUUUUUUUUUUGCAACGCGGGCUCCUUCUCUAAUCAGUGGAAGGUUGGGGGAAGGGGAUGUUAUCUCAGUGACAAAUCCAGCCCUGCAAGUCUGGGAGGCGUUUGUGCCUGGGGAGUUUAAAAGUGAACUGCAAAGAAAAAAAUUAUGACCCUGCCAUCACUCCUGUGUUACCAUCCAGGAAUGCAGAGGUGGAUCCAGCGCUUGCGGAUGAGAAUGCUAGUCCAGGUGUUUCCAAACUUCCCGGGGCAGAUGUCGGGAAUAUAAAGAGCACCGCAGUGCGAGGACAAGCAACAUGUCCAUCACCACAUAAUCUAAGUCCUGAAGUGGAGUGUUUAUUUUCACACAGAAAAGUCACAGUGAAGUGGAGUUUCGCUAUAACAGGA